rnacentral:misc_RNA from 1 species
GAUGAAGAACGCAGCAAAAUGCGAUAAGUAGUGUGAAUUGCAGAAUUCAGUGAAUCAUCGAAUCUUUGAACGCACAUUGCGCCCUCUGGUAUUCCGGAGGGCAUGCCUGUUCGAGCGUCAUUAUCACCCCUCAAGCCCGGCUUGUUGUUGGAUGCAGCGCUUAUCCCGCUCCUCCCAAAGAUAAUGACGGCGUCUGCGACGACUCCUGUACACUGAGCUUUCGGGCACGUACACGGCUAGAAGUCCAGACCCGGUCGCCGUCCCCCCCGCGGGGACACCCAUUACCACAAGGUUGACCUCGGAUCAGGUAGGAAUACCCGCUGAACUUAAGCAUAUCAAUAAGCGGAGGA